GGGAAUAUUGGGCAAUGGGCGCAAGCCUGACCCAGCAACGCCGCGUGAAGGAAGAAGGCUUUCGGGUUGUAAACUUCUUUUCUCAGGGACGAAGCAAGUGACGGUACUUGAGGAAUAAGCCACGGCUAACUACGUGCCAACAGCCGCGGUAAUACGUAGGUGGCAAGCGUUAGCCGGAUUUACUGGGUGUAAAGGGCGUGUAGGCGGGGACGCAAGUCAGAUGUGAAAAACACGGGCUCAACCUAUGGCCUGCAUUUGAAACUGUGUUUCUUGAGUACUGGAGAGGCAGACGGAAUUCCUAGUGUAGCGGUGAAAUGCGUAGAUAUUAGGAGGAACACCAGUGGCGAAGGCGGUCUGCUGGACAGCAACUGACGCUGAGGCGCGAAAGCGUGGGGAGCAAA
rnacentral:rRNA from 1 species